CCAUUUCUUCAGGAUAACCCAAGCCAAGCAGCCUGCCGUCACCUGAGAGAAAGUAUCUUGGCGCUUUGUAAAAGUCAUUUCACUGUGAGUCCCAAGAGAGACGACUGCAGAACAAAACUGGACAAAGAGUACAUUUGAAAAGAAAACCUCUUCAAGACUAUGGGAAUUUCUGAAGACGGAUUUUUCCUUUAUAAUGAUUAAAAAUAGUUUGGGCUGCA